CCGCCCGUCACACCAUGGAAGUUGACUUCGGCAGAAGCCGCUGAGCUAACCCGCGAGGGAGGCAGGCGUCCAAGCCGGUGUCGAUGACUGGGGUG
rnacentral:rRNA from 1 species